rnacentral:lncRNA from 1 species
GUCGCCUAUGGCAGAAUAAAUAGUACCGUUUUCCCUAUACUCAAGAUAGCAAGGGAAAUCAAAAUUAAUCAGACUUCAGUCAUAUUAUACUAUUUUGAAGUACAUUUGAUUUUCAUCACAAAGAAUAGAAAUUUUUAACUGAGAACAGUACUGUAUUGAGAAAAGUGCUGAGUCAUCAUUAUAAGUCAAAUUGAUGGGUACUGAUAUAAAACUUUAUUCUAGGAUUUCAAUAUUGACUAUAUUGUAUAAACUGCACCAAACUAUUCUUCUUAUGUAUUUGUUUUCACCUUUCACAAUGAAACAUCCUGCGCAGCCGAGAAACAACAAAAUAAUUUAACAGAAGCUUUAUUAUAACUAUUGGCAUAAUCUCACCAAAUAUAAAGUUGUUUCUUGUGUGCGCACAUACUGUUUCAAUCUAACAUAUACUUAAAAUUUGAUGAAAAGCAAGGAAAAUCACGAGAUUUAACAAAAUAUGCAAAUUAAGUCAUGAUUUGUUGCCAUGGUAACGUGUUCGAUAUCAAAUUUGUUUUGUUUUUCUUAGUAUCUUAUACCUAAGUCAAGUUUUCAGUAAUUUAAGAAUAUGUAUGAUAACUUUUAAAUUUGCAGUAAUUUUUGGGCCAAAUAAGGCCUUAUUGCCCCUACUCUUUUAUUUUCUGCUGCCUUGGUAAUUAGAAAUUAAAAUUGAAAUAGAUAGAAAUGGGUGUUGGCCAUUGGUGUAGAAAUAGCGAAAAUUUAGAGAAAACUCUCUAAGACAAGCAACAUUUUCUGUGCCAAAUUAAGCAAGGGGUGUUCUUCAUUCAUACUAUUUCGAAAAUUCCGGAACCGUUGAGUACCCUUAAAAAUGCCAUUUUUCUAUCAAAAAAACUGCGGCACCAUAUGUGUUUGACCAUUGCAAUUACACCCAAAGGUGUUGAUAAUACAGAAUUCGAAUUUUUUUUCAAUGGAUCUUUGAUAGUGAAAAGGCAGGACCAAAUAAGGCUACCAUUGUCGCCUAUGUAAAUAAUUACUUCCUUGUAACCUAAAGCGAAAUGACGAUUUCUGGCGCGUCACUGUAUUUUUCGAGAUAUUUUAGAAAUUGGAUCGGUAAAUUAAUAAGGUACUAAGUGAUAAACUAUAUCAGAAGAAAAUUGCUGAUCGCCAUGAAACUAUAGUCUAUAUCAAAUUUUUACUGUUCUUUUUGUUAUUCUGCCUCAGGGGUAGGGUUCAUAAAUCUACUGUAAAAACGAGAAUUCUCUCAAGGACUCUGUAUUUAAUCAUUUCUCCUCAUCCUCGAUAACACUGAAUGUAUUCAUGCAUAUCUGAAAAAAAGGGGGGCUAAUUUUUGCUCAUAUUAGCGAAAUUUUUGUAUUCUUAAUGGCCAAAAUGUGCCAAAAUGACCCUGAAAU